GAAAUUCCUUGUCGGGGAAGUGCCGACCCGCACGAAAGCUGUAACGAUUUGGGCACUGUCUCAACCAGAGACUCGGUGAAAUAAUAGUACCUGUGAAGAUGCAGGUUACCCGCGACAGGACGGAAAGACCCCGUGGAGCUUUACAGUAGCCUGAUAUUGAAUUUUGGUACAGUUUGUACAGGAUAGGCGGGAGCCAUUGAAACCGGAGCGCUAGAUUCGGUGGAGGCGCUGGUGGGAUACCGCCCUGACUGUAUUGAAAUUAUAACCUACGGGUCUUAUCGACCCGGGAGACAGUGUCAGGUGGGCAGUUUGACUGGGGCGGUCGCCUCCA
rnacentral:rRNA from 1 species